rnacentral:lncRNA from 1 species
CCCUGGGGACAGGUGACAAUGGCAGGUGCCACCUCAGGUGUGCCCAGGUGCCACCAGGUGUGCCCAGGUGCCACCAGACCUGUCCAGGUGCCACCAGGUGUGCCCAGGUGCCACCAGGUGUGUCCAGGUACCACCAAACCUGUCCAGGUGCCACCAGGUGUGCCCAGGUGCCACCAAACCUGUCCAGGUGCCACCAGGUGUGUGCCCAAGUGCCACCUCAGGUGUGUCCAGGUGCCACCAAACCUGUCCAGGUGCCACCUCAGGUGUGUCCAGGUGCCACCAGGUGUGCCCAGGUGCCACCAGGUGAGUUCCCAGCUGUUCCCAGGUGCCACCAGGUGUGUCCAGGUGUGCCCAGCUGUUCUCAGCUGUGCCCAGGUGUCCCCAGGUGUGUCCAGGUGCCACCAGGUGUGUCCAGCUCUCCCCACAUAUGUCUCCAGGUGCCACCAGGUGAGUUCCCAGCUGUCUCCAG